GAUGAACGCUGGCGGCGUGCCUAAUACAUGCAAGUCGAACGAAGAUCUAGCUUGCUAGAUCUUAGUGGCGAACGGGUGAGUAAUACAUAAAUAAUCUGCCCAUAUGACUGGGAUAACUAUUGGAAACGAUAGCUAAUACCGGAUAGGUUGAUUGGAGGCAUCUCUGAUUAAUUAAAGUAGGAUUUCUACACAAAUGGAUGAGUUUAUGGCGCAUUAGUUAGUUGGUGGGGUAACGGCCUACCAAGACGAUGAUGCGUAGCCGACCUGAGAGGGUGACCGGCCACACUGGGGCUGAGACACGGCCCAGACUCCUACGGGAGGCAGGAGUAGGGAAUUUUCGGCAAUGGGCGCAAGCCUGACCGAGCAACGCCGCGUGAGUGAUUAAGGCCUUCGGGUUGUAAAGCUCUGUUGUAAGGGAAGAACAUUCAGGAUAGGAAAUGAUCUUGAACUGACGGUACCUUACCAGAAAGCCACGGCUAACUACGUGCCAGCAGCCGCCGUAACAC
rnacentral:rRNA from 1 species